rnacentral:lncRNA from 1 species
GAUCAAUGUAUGCUAAGAUUUAAUUAUAUCAAUUUACAUUUUCAUUAUUCAAAUGCCAAUCUCACACACUAGCUCAUUUAAUAACCAACUGAAACAUUCCCGUGUGGAAGUGCCCGUGUUCAAAAGGCUGUGUAGAGGUCUACAUGCCUGUGUGCAAGCUGCACACACCCGUGUGGAGGAGACACAUGCCCGUGUGACCGAGUUACAUGGCUGUGUGAGUAGUCCGUGUAACUCACUAUCCAAAAGUGUCAAAAUAAGGUGCAGAGCAGACACAACCAUGUGGAAAUCUCACACGACCGUGUGGCUAAGGGACACAACCGUGUGUCCCAGGCACACGCUCGUCUAAAAAUUGAAAAAAAUCCCCAAAUCAUAGCCACACGGUCGUGUGGUACCAAAAAUUACCUAAAACCCUAAUUCCCAAAGUCACACGGCCGUGUGCGGCACACGCCCAUGUGGCCACGAAACCAUACCGAAACAGACCAUAAAUCGUGAAUUUGCAUCAGCAAAGCAAUCCCUAAUUACUAAAUGUUCAAAAACACACCUGAUUUGCAAUUCCAAACACAACAAAUAAUUGGAAUGCCUCAAUCCCACCAAUUCUGAAAACUAGCAAACCAAUCACACUCGAUUAACAACAAUUUGAAUCAUUACAACGAUCUAACUACGAAUUAAUCUAAAACUCAACAGGAACCGUUAACCCACAUUGAAACUUACCCAAUUCAA